UACGUAGGGUGCGAGCGUUGUCCGGAAUUAUUGGGCGUAAAGAGCUUGUAGGCGGUCUGUCGCGUCUGCUGUGAAAAUCCGGGGCUCAACCCCGGACUUGCAGUGGGUACGGGCAGACUAGAGGUGUGGUAGGGGAGACUGGAAUUCCUGGUGUAGCGGUGAAAUGCGCAGAUAUCAGGAGGAACACCCGGAUGGCGAAGGCAGGU
rnacentral:rRNA from 1 species